CUCUGUGGGGAGCGGAACUCGCCCGCUCCGGGGACGGGGACUCCGCACUCCCGGCCCCCCCGUGGCUGUGGGACGGGCUUGCCUCAGCGCCAGGCGGGGUAAAGCCGCCCCCACAAAGGUAGGGAAGGGGGGGGUGCAUGAUUUCCCCUCCCCCGGGUGUGUGAGCGAUCGCCUGAGGGCUCCAGAGAGCGUCCACCGCUGUCGGGGGAACCCUAGACGUCGGAUGGAGGACGGGAGCUCCCUGGAGGAUUUAGGCCAGUGCCCUACCCUGAGGCAGGACUAAGUGUUAUCUAGACGGUGGUUCUCACUCAGAGGAGAAGUCCAGGAAAGCUAGACAUACCAAGGUCCUGCAGAACUGCUGAUUAAGGUAAGUAGGAGGUUGGAAUAUUAGGUGUGGUAGAGUGUUGCAACAGAAUCUUAACAAGAGCAUGUGUAUGCCCACUUCAGUCACAGGGUAGCUGGUCUCUGUGGACAGACACAGCCAGGCUCCCCUGGAAAUUCAGCUAAUUAAAGAGGGCUGGGCUACACCUGGGCCUACAAAGGGCUGCUAGCGGGCAUCUGAAGGAAGGACUGAGACAGGCUGAACCAUGCACUGGCAGAGGAAGCUGUACUGGAGUGGAGCUAACUUCUGUGGCAGUCCCUAGAGCAAGAGGCCAGGGAAACAGCCCUGUGUCUGCUGCUCCAAGUGGGGAGUAGAGCUGAGUGAAGCUGGAAGGCUGCCAGGAGCUGGAAUGCCGCCAGAGACCCCUGGAAGAGGUGGCCCUGAAGCCUGGGACCAAGAACUGGGUUAAGACACAGUUUUCUGUUAAUUUCCUAACCUCGGUUAUGAAAAAUAAACCUCCUUGACUGAGACUGGGCAUGGCAGCGUAUGCUUUGGAGCUGGGGAGAAGUGAUGGCCCUGGUGACAUCAACACUAAUCAGUAAUUACCGGUUUGUUGAUACACACAACUCGCGCGUGAGUCCAGUUUCUACUUCUUCAACUCUAUCCAUGCUGUAGAGCUGAGCUGGGGAAUGACAUCUUCCAAAGGCUGGACACAAUUUCCAAAUGAUACCAAGAAAACCUUGAGUGUUAUGGGUUUGGUAAACCUUGUUGAAACUGGUGGUUGUAACAACCAACCUACAUUUGCGAUAAAUGUAAGAUGCCCUUAAGCCCAUUUAUGGAACAAAGUAGCUGAAAUAAUAGGAGCACUGUCCAAAACAAAAGCACAUGGAAGACUGGUCAGAAACAGACCCAUGUGGGUGGAGAGGUUUCACUGGGUAAUGUUUUAGGAGAAGUGUGUGUAUGAGAAAAAUAGGAAGAACACCAGAGAAGCUGAUAGAGAAGCAGCAGAAAUCCAAUGACACAGCCAUCGGGAACAUAGCCCUGAGAAAAGCCUAGAGAGACCUUUGGAACUAAGUGCUGGCAGGAAAGGGACUUGAAA